rnacentral:lncRNA from 1 species
CCUAAAGUUAGAAUUCCUAUCUUAUUUUGGUAAGAUAGAUGACUUCUUCUCUCAAUUUACAAGGCCUUGAUGCACUCUACAACUAAGGCAAAUGGCUUCCUGAGUUCCAAAUUGCUAAGUUAAUUCACUGAUGCAAGAAAAACUUCUCCUUAUACCAACAGGUUAACAUAGGGUGUUAAUCCCUUCCAAUUUUAUUUCCAUGCAUUGAAAAGAAAAAAAAAAUCAACUUUGUUCUACCCUAUGGGUUUGGUGUAACUCUGUAAGGUAGUUGGAUGCAUAGCAUGCUAGUAUCAUAGAUACACCUAGCAAUUUCUUGUAUCCUUUUUCUUGGUCAUCACCUUGCUAAUUUAUGUAGAAGUGGUCAAAUGGCCACAAACUAAAAUUACCUUUCUCUCUCUCUCUCUCUCAUGCACAUAAAUACACAUCAUUUUUUGCUCAGUCUUUGUGAACUAUAGUUCCCUCAUUAUUAGAAUUCUGUUAAUUCCUCAUAUUAGUUUGAAAUUUUAUUUUUUUGAUUUAUUUAUUUAUUUAUUUUUAUCUUUGUAUUGGAAGAUGUAAGAUAUGUUGGAUAUUUAUAUUUUUGUAACUUCAAUAGUUCUUUUUUUUUUUCUGCAGCAAGAAGAAAGCUUAAGCUUAAGGUUCAUGUUGUAUAUAUAUGCUUUACAUAGUUUGAUUGUACACCAAGUGUUUGUUUGCUUCGGUUUGUAGUCUAUGAUAUAGGUUUCAUACUUAGUCGCCUACCAUUUAUUUAUUUUUAUUGCAAUUGUCAUAAUUACCAUAUAUUCUUUUUGUUUUCUGCUUUGUAAAUUGAUUUUUGAGAUUGACAUCUCAUUUUAAAAUGUACUUUUAUAAUAUGCUGUGUUUAUUACAUAUUCAGACUGAGGUCAAUGGUGUGUUCCUUUUUUCUGCAAUGUGCUCUCUUUAAAGUUAGUGAAUUUGUUGCAGUCUGAACAUAAUUUAACCCAUAGGACAUGUAUUGCAGAAAACACCUACAUUCCACAGUUUAUUGAAAUGAUAGAAAAACAUUACCUGUGCAGAGCACUUCAAGAGGUCACUGUAGCUACAAUUUUGAGCUGAUAACAUCAAACGUGCAGCCCUUAAAUGCAGCUUCUUUGUUGCCUGGUGAAUUUUGCUCAUAUAUACUGCUUUGCGUUUACCUUCUAUGCGUGCCAUGGUUACUAUCACAAUAUCCAAUAGCAACAUGCCAUGUUCUCACUUUUCAACCUUCCUUCAUGGUUUUGAUCUACUACUUCACUAUGAUUAAGUUUACCACAAAUCUGACAAGUUAUGUUACCUGAAGAAUUUGAAUUGCUACUGCUCUUAUGAUUUUAAUCAGCUUGCUUCCCAAAAUUAAUUCUAUGAAUCUUGAUUAUAACACAGGUAGUUGCCAUUUCGCUAAUUUGAAGCUACCCAUUGAUCAUUUUGACUAGGAUUAUUGUUGAGAAAUAAAGGUUGUUGGAUAUUGGCUCAAAACAAUGAUCAAUUAGUCAAUCGAUGAUGAAGUCAAUUGCAAUGUUGAUGUAUAUAACUUGACAUGUAAAAGAGAAAUAAAAAAUAAAAAAAUUGUACAAUUACAGUUCAAUGGCAAGAAAUGAUAUGGUCCUUCAAUGGAUGUGGGGGACUUUUCAGAUCACAUUAAUUGUUUAUCCCUUGUGUGUUUGUUGUGGUGCUUCUAUUAGUCUCAAUCCUUCUUAAGAUUGGUGCUAGUAUUUUUUGAGUUGUUACUGCUCUAUUCAUUCUAAGGCUAAAAUAUUCUCUCUAAACUUCAAAUUUUUCUUCACAGAUUUGAUGAAUUGCUUUCCAAAUCAAGAUUAUUGUAAGCUUACACAAAGUACAACAUAAAAUUACAUACAAUAUUUAAUUCAUUGUAAGUUCACACAAAGCAUACAUACAAUCAUUGUAGCUGCAUGCCUUAAGUUUUAGCUACGAUUUACUCUCCUCUUCGGCCACACCAAUUUGCCCACAAUUUUGUUUACAAAACCAAAAUAGACUUCAUAGCAAGAUUUGCUAAAUGUACAAAUGAAAAAGGGAACUAAAACACCAACUGCAAACCCCAACCCAACACUCAAGUAAAACCACUGAUCAAUGAAGUUAUUGUCAGUUUCAUCCUCAACAUCACUUUGCCCUUUAUCUAAACCUUCAUCUUGGCAUUUAGCAACAAGUGGAGCUCCACAAAGAUUUGGAUUUCCAGUGAAGGCCGUCCCUGUAAAGGUUGUCAUUUGCCCCAUGAAGGGGAUCUUACCAGAGAAAUUAUUAUUUGAUAAAUUCAAAUAACUCAAAAAUGUUAAUGAGGAUAUGCUUGGAGGGAUAGUGCCAGAGAGCUUAUUACUUGACAGAUCAAAAGAUAACAAUUGAUGCAACCUCCAAAUGCUUCCUGGAAUCUGCCCGCUAAUGUGGUUUUUCGACAAGUUCAAAACCACUAAACCAAACAAGUUUGUUAUUUCCUUCGGAAAGUCUCCACUUAAAUUAUUGUGGGAGAGGUCUAUGCUGACAACCAGAGAAAGAGUCUUGGUGUAUUCUAGAACUUGCCCUUUUGCAUUUACAAACAAGCUUUCUUCAUAGUAGUGGACUGAAGAAAUCCCAUACAAUAGAUACUGAUUUUUGUUUUGCUCUUCAGCCAUGGCUUUAAGAUCACCCAAAAUAGCAGGAAUGGUUCCAGUCAAAUGAUUUUCCGCAAGGUCCAGCACAUGCAGUGAAUCUAAUUUGGAGACAUCAGACGGAAGUUCCCCGGAAAAAGCAUUGGACCUCAAGUUAAGAAUUCUAAGAUGGCUGAAAGCAGCUCCCAUCCAUGAUGGAAUGCUACCUGAUAAUUUGUUGUAACUGAGAUCAAGGGUUUCCAGAUUUGAUAAAUGUUGGAAAGAUGGAGGAAGCUCUCCAGAAAGCUUAUUCUUGUUUAGGUGAAGAGACCGAAGCUGCUUUAAUUUACCCAAUGAUACUGGAAUCAUUCCAGACAAACCAUUGUUCCCAAGGUCAAGAAUCCUUAGGUUAGAGCAAUUAUUUAUGGUCGAAGGGAUGCUUCCUACCAAUCCAUUCCUUGAAAGAUCAAUGACCUCAACAUUCCACAAUUGUCCCACAGAAGCAGGGAUGGUUCCUUUUAUUUCAUUAUCUGAAAGAGAAAGGAACCACAGUUCUGGCAUGAAUUCACCUAUGCGUUGUGGGAUAGGACCAGAAAAUUUAUUGUCAGAUAGAUCUAGUAAGUAAGCCCCACGGUUUGGAAGAGGAAUGGGUCCUUGAAAGAGGUUGGAACUGAAAUCAAUAGACGCAAAGGGGCCAAGAUUCAGUGGAUUUGGUAACUGACCUUGUAAAUGAUUGAGAGACAGAUUUACCCACCCUAUGUUAGAAGAAAUAUUCCAAAACCAGUUUGGUAUGGAACUUGAAAUGCUGGCAUUUGAGAGAACAAGAUACUCAACUUCCUUUUGUGACUUGAGCCAAGGUGGAAAUGAAGGACCUAAAUGACAUGAACCCAUCUCAAGAAAGUGGAUUUGGAAUGGAGGAACCCAAUGGGAACUGACAUUCAAAGUAAAAGAAUUGGAGGACAAUAAUAAAUAUUUCAGCUUACUUAGCUUGGAAAAAUUUUCUUCAGAGAGAAUUCCAAUCAAAUUGUUGAAGGAAACAUCCAGGUAAACCAAUUCAGAAAGCUGUCCGAAACUGUCUGGAAGAGUCCCUUUCAGUCUGUUGGUUCCAAGCCACAUAUUGGUCAAGUGUUGCAAUGUCCCUAAAGAAGCAGGGAUGCGACCUUGAAGAUUGUUAUCAUCCAUUCUGAGUUCCACAAGCUCUUCAAGCUCACCCAACCAUUCCGGCAGUUUUCCAGUUAACUGAUUGCUUGACAAACUUAAAUGGGUGAGGUUGGGCAAAGGACUUUCAGAACUGCAAUUUUCAGGCACCUCAAGGAAUGUUGGUAGACUUCCUGUCAAGUUAUUAAACCCCAAGUUCAAAUAUUUUAAGUUGCAAAGAAUUCCGAUUGAGCUUGGAAUUGUACCUGUAUAAGUUUAAAAACACAUUAAGCAAUAGCUUAAUUAGCUAAUAGUAACAAUAAUGAUACUAAAUAAUAAGAAACUAAAUUCAUAGACAACUGAAUUAAAGAGAAGAUACAAUUUUGUACUUAUUGUAAAGUAUUAAUCAAAUUACACAUACAUGUGAGUAGAAAAUAAAGAAAAAAGACAAGAUUUUGAACGUGAUUCGAGGAUCAAUGUGAUCUUUACGUCCAUGGAGUGCAUCAACACUCAAGAAUUCACUAAUCAAAAGGAAUGUGAAGGGUCAUAAUGGUAAAAUUCUUGAAAAAACCCGCUUAAUUGCAAUGGCAUUCUCUGAAAACAAAACCCUAAAAUAUCAAUAGGUUAAAUAUAUAAUAAAGAUAAACUCGUUAUUCACCACAUAAAAAAAAAAAAAAAAUUCUCUAGAGACACUACCCCCUUCAACCCCUACAAGUUCAAUGGAGAGUUCAACCUCCAAUAUCCCGAGCAAAAUGCAACAAAAUUGACCUAGGCUUCACAAUCCAAUAUAAAGCACCAUUGCAGUAAAGUUGUUUCAAUAGUCAGUUAAUUUAUCCAUAUAAACAAGUUCCUUUUUAUGGUAACCUCAACAUUAUUCAUCUGAUAUCAAAAUGAUGAGUUAAUAUAAAUAUUUGUAGGCAAGAGGGGGAAUUUACCAUGUAAGUUAUUUGAAGCCAAAAUGAGCACCUCUAUCCUUCUCCAGCUUCCCUUCAACAACUGGGCGCAACUGCCUUCCAGAUUUUUAUUACCAGAGAGAUCCAAGUACUGCAAAUUAGGUAGCUCACUGAGAUCCAGCGGAACCCUCCCCCAUAACUCACAGUUGCUUAUGUCUAUGGAUACAAGGCUGCUGACAUUCACAAGCCAUUCAGGAAACUUCGAAUUGAAGGCGUUCUGACUGAUAGAUAGAAUAGCAAGUGAACUAAAAUUGGAAGAACCUAGGGAUGAAAUUGAACCAGAGAGGUUACACCCAAGAAGAUGCAGAUCAGUUAAAAUUGGAAGCUUACUUAACACCCCAGCCCAAUGAGGCCCCACCAUUGAAAGGUUGGCAUGGUUCAUGUUAAGAUUCUUCAAGGAAACAAGACCAGCCAUCCAGUCAAGAUUAUCAGACCAUAAAUAAGAAAAUUCGGAAGAAAGAUCAAGAGACUGCAAGUUAGAGAGGUUUCCUAAAUUUGGAGGAAUUGCACCACUAAACCCAGAAUUUGAUAGGUUUAGAUAUUGUAAAUUUUUUAACGAUCCAAAGAAUUGAGGAAUUGAGAUGUCAUCAAAUGAGUUGCCACUCAAAUCUAAAUACCUCAAGAACUUGAGUUUCUUCAAUGAGGGUCUAAUCUCUCCACUCAAUUUCGUAGAACUCCAAUUCUGAUAAUCACUAAAACUAUCAUAUGAGUUAUGAAGAUCUAUUGAAACCACAACUCCUGUGCUAUUUUUACAAUUAAUUCCUUCCCAGUGACAACAGUUACUACCUUUCCACGAUGAAAACCGAUUCUUGGAGUAUUUGAGACCAUUUUUGAAGUCAACAAGAGCUUCUCGAUCGGACUCUAAGCAAUUUCCCGAAUGGACAUCGCCAUUACAAGCAAAUUCUGUGGUCAUCAGAGAAAGGGUGGCCAAAAUGAAACCAAGAACCAAAAUUCUCUCCAUUUGAUAUUCAAUUCUGAAGCUGCAAACAGAUUAAAAAAAAAAACUAAUUAUCAUACAUAAGUACUGUUUUCUUCAUAUGAAGUAAAGUAUUAAAUCUUCUGACACAUUUAAAUAACAGAUUUAACAAGGAUUCUCAAUAUAAUAAGCUUACAAAAAGGCAGUAAUAAAUAGAAGCACUGCAGAGAAUUAAACAGAAGUAUAAUCCAGAAGUACAACUUACCCGGUUAAAGAAGCGAUGCAAAGGAGAUAACUGAAAGAUCCAACCAUGUGAGCAUUAAUAAAAGGGGCUCCAGCUAUCCCUUAAUUUUCUUAGUCUUUGUUUCAUAUUAUUUGUCAAAACUCCUUAAUGUGAGCAUUAAUAAAAUGACUCGAGAUGCUUUUCUUGACUUAAACAUCAAUUUCAGGUGGACUAAAACAUUGAGGGGUAUAGAAAAAAUUUCUAGUGACUGAAUAACAUUUUCCAUGAUCACACCCUUUAAAAUUUUCCCUGCCCCAUACGUUAUUUCCACGAGGACUUGUGUUAUUCUAGAACAUUAUUUCAAGUUCUAUUUUUAAUUUCACUAUAUAUCUUCAUAGUAUACUUUUAUGCUAUGUUUGGUCCCAAAAAAAAAAUUGAGAGAAAAUGUGAAGGAAAUAAAAUAGAAAUGAAAUUAAAACGGAAGGAGAGAAAAAAAGAAAGAAAAAAAAUUAAAUUUAAAGUCUAUAAAUUAUUUUUAUGGUUAUGUUUGAUUCUUAAAAAGUUUGAGAAAAAAUGUAAUAGAAAAAAUAGAAUGAAUAAAAAAAUGAAAGAAAAUAAAAAAUAGAUUUCAAGUUAAUAAAUUAUUUUUAUAUCUUACUUUAAACUCAUUUUACUUAUUUAACUCUUCUUUAUAAAAAUUAAAUGAUUUAAUUAUAUAUAUAAAAGUUUCUUACUAAUUUUAAUUUUUUUUUAUUUUUAUUUUCAAUAGUAAAACCAAACAUGAGAAAAUUAUUUUUCUUAAUAUUUUAUUUCUUUCCUUAAUAUUUUUUUAAAACCAAACACAAUCUAUAUAUUUCUUCAAAUUCAUUUAUCUUAUUUUUCUUUGAUUAUAUAAAAAUUAAAUAAUUUUAAAAUGCAUAAGUUUUUAAUUAAUUUUAAUUAUAUUUGAAUUUUUUUUUAUAUUUUUCAUAGUGAUACCGAAUAAGAGAAAAUCAUUUUAUUUAACAUUUUUUUUCUUUUUCCUGAGUACUUUUUAAGAACCAGAGACUUAAGGAAUGUUUCAAAAUAAUUUAAUUAGUGAAUUCCUUUGCAAUUGAAAGUCUAUGUAUUCAUUUUAUUUAACAUUUUUUUUUCUCUUUCCUUAGUAAUUUUUAAGAACCAAACUUAAUAUAAUUGAAAUUACCUGGUUAAAGAGGAUAACUGAAAGAUCUAACCAUUUGAGCAUUAAUAAAAGGGGCUCCAGUUAUUCCUUAAUUUUCUUAGUCUUUGUUUCAUAUUAUUUGUCAAAACUCCUUAACUCUUACUCCACGGAAAAUGACUCGAUAUUUGUCAAAACAUCAAUUUCAGGUGGACUAAAACAUUGAGGGGUAUAGAAAAAAUUUCUAGUGACUAAAUAAUAUUUGCCCAACGAAAAGAAGGUAAAGAAAUUUGUGUUGAGCUUUUUUUUCAAAUACAUGUGAUAUGUUUUAAGAUUAUGUUUGAUUUUUAAAAAAGUAUUAAGAAAAGAAAAAAAAAUGUAAGGAAAAAUGGUUUUUUUUUAUAUAUAUUUGGUUUCAUUGUGAAAAAUAUUACAGAAAAUCAAAUAUAAUUGAAAUUAGUUAAAAAUUUUAUAAAUAUGUAAAUUAUUCAAUUUUUAUAUAAUUAAGGAAAAUAAGUGAAAUAAGUUUGAAAUAAGAUAUAAAAAAAUUAUUGACUUCAAAUAUAUAUAUAUAUUUUUAUUUUCCUUUAUUUUUUCGUUCCUUUUAAUUUUCUUUUCUAUUUUCUCUCUCUCGUAUUUUCCCUCGUAUUUUUUGGAAACCAAACAUAGACUAAGCAUUUUUUUGUUAGGAAAGAAGACAUUUCAAUUAAAAACUCUUUUAUAGGAAUAAAUAAUGAAUCAAAGUUGCAUCAAACUUCAAGUUAGAAAAGUAUUUAGAGUUGAUUUGAUAGUGAUUUUAAGAAGCAUUUCUAUUUUUCUUUUAAACAUUAGAAAAACUAAAAACACUUCAUAAAAUCAUUACCAAACACACUCUUAAUCAUCCAUAUAACUUUUAAACUUGUUACAUCUAUAUUACAUUUUAAGUAUUAGUACUAAACAUACCUCUCCACGAGGUCCACUUGAAUAAUUAUAUUUUAGCACUAAAAUAGUUCGAUAAGUAAUUCGUCUGAGGACUAGAUCUAGUAGAAUGUUAGCAGUAAUACGUCUGAGUUGUUGGCCUGCUAUACCUCUCAAGCCAUCAUUACACCAAUUUUGAGUGGAAGAGGAUUUUAGUUGCAAUUGACUGAGGACUAGAUCCAGCAGAGUUUUCCUACGUGCCCCAUACGGGAAUUUAUUUUUGUAGUUUAGACCAUAAUGAACUGUCAGCAAAAAAUUAAAAAAAGAAUGAAGUAUUAGUGGAAAAGUAUGGAAUGGUGAUAAAACGCUCAUCCCUAAUUCUAACAUAAAAACCCUAAGUCGAAUUUAUUUCAUUUAUUUUUACUUGUCUAGAGAAUCAACAAUCUUUUUGGUACAUCCUUGCGUUAUUCUUAAGAGCAUUAUUUCAAGUUCUAUUUUUAAUUUUACUAUAUAUCUUCAUAGUAUGCUUUUAGGUUAUGUUUGGUUCCCGAAAAAUUAAGAAAAUGUUUUUAGAUUAUGUUUGGUUCCCAAAAAAAUUAAGAAAAAACAUUCCAUCAUUGUGUAUAAAAUAAUUAGAUUGCAUGGUGGAUGUUUUGGUAUAUUGUUGGUUUUUAUUUUUAACUAAUUGGGAAAUUUAAGUCCAUGGUAUUAGGUCUAGAAAAUGGCAAUUGCUGAAGUGAGAGAAGGUUCCGAAAUGGAAUAUAUAUAUAUAUAUAUGUAUUUAUGUAUUUAUGUAUGUAUAUAUUUAUUUGAAAUCAACAAAUGGGUUUAGAUGUGGAACCAUAAAUUCUAAAGAAGUUAUAAAUUUCAAAAGAGCUAUUGGUUUAAAUCAAUCUCACCAAUACUUAUAAUAGCAUCAAGAAGAGAGCCAAGCAAAGGUAGAAAAACCACACCAGUAAUUCUAGCACUAGCAACUUCCACCAGAAUUUCACUCCCAUCAUACAAAAGCAUGGCUGCAAACAACAUCAGGGACACAUACAUAAGGAUAAGGAAUAUGUUUCCAGUGCUCAAAAACAAUAAAAUCUGGUUGUUGAAUCUCUUCCAACUCCAUCAAAAACAAUAAAAACUACAUUUUAAUUCAUUUGGAAAUUUAAUUCAAUGUCUGACAAUCUGUCUCUUAUACUACAAUUUCUACUAUCUGAUGGUAAUGUACUAUCUCUCUUCAUUGAUUUGGGUUUAUAAAGAACACAUGUCAGCUUGAAGCUAAUAGAUUAUCAAUUUUUUUUUAUAUAGUAAAAAUUGCAAAUGCAUGAAAAUGAACCAUGAAGUAUAUGAAUAAUAUUUCUUUUUAUUAUUUUUAGAUUCUAAUGAGCUCCUAAUAUUAUUUUACUCAACAUUAAAAAAAAAAAUUAUAUUUAUAACAAAUAUACUUUUAUAAUUAAAAUGAUAAGCUACAGUUAAAAUUGAGAUGAGUCAAUUUUAACUACUAUCAACUCCUCUUAAUUAAUCAAAUUAAUUUAGUAAGAUACGAUUAAAUUGGGACCUUAAUGAGUCAAUUAAAAAAAUUGACUCAUUAUUUUAUGAGUAGUAUCUUACCAUUACCCUAUCUCUUCUGUGACAGGAUUUAAGAGUAUGAAGUAAAUGCUAUGCUGUCUUAAUUUGUCUGUUUGCUUUGUCAGCACAGUUUCUAUAAGGCAACAUAAAAAACCAUAAGGCUGAAUCUGCUGCUCAGGCCAGCGUAAGGGCCAGAUGGUUGAUACUAGUAUGAAAACCCUAUUUGAUCCAUAAAUCAGGAGUUGAGAAGUAUUCAUGCUCCAAAAUGUAUUUAUGCUCUCCCCCUUAAGCCACAAUUUUGUCUGAGCUACAGCAUAAUAAAGUUUGCAUGCUUGUAUAAAAAAUUUGUACAUUCAUAUGAUGCUUAUGAUGCAGGUUUUAUCAAUUAAACUAGAUGAAUGGACAGAUGAACAGGUUGAUACAUUGAUGGGUAUGGGUGAAAAUAAUGAGGUAAACAUGAAGUAUGAAGCCUCCAUUCCAGACUACAUCAGAAAACCAAGACCAGAUUCCUCUAUAGAGGAACACUCUGAUUUCAUUAAGUAUUACACUAUUAAUACACUUGGCAUAAAUUUCUAAAGGGAACUUAUACCAUGCUGAAUCAGAAACCCACUUCUUGAAUACUCAGGAGAAAAUAUGAGAUGCAACUAUUUUUCAACUCUGAUGUAUAGAUGUUCUGCCCCUUUCCACCUCAAGGUUUGUGUUCACCAUCCUCCUAAGGUGGUCCUCUUGGGUAAGAACUCCAUUAAUUGGUACACUCUCUCUCCCAACAUAUCUAUCCAUCUAUGUGUGCCCAGAAUAUCAAACAGGAAAAAAAAAAAAGAUCCUAACAUAGGGUACAAUAAAGUACAGUGGAAAAAUUCAGGGACCCAGACAAUAUCCAUCUAUUUUGUCAAGAGUAUCAAACAGAAAACAAGCUCAAAAUAUGCCACAAUAAAGUACAAUGGGAUUAUUUGAUUGUCCAGAUAUCCAAUAUAUUUGCUGGAAAUUCUCUUCAUCCUUCUCUGAUGAAGUUGGGAAAAUAGAUUUGAGUUUGAAUUUUCCAUUUCUAACAUGCCAGUUUGAAUUCAGUUUGUGGUAUGUUCGUUGGAUCAUCUUGUUGUGUAGGUUCAAAGUGAUCACCAUGAGGUUGUUGCAGACCUGGUGCAAACAAGUUUUCUUUUUUCUAUUCUCAUGGAUGGGCCUAUGUCCUUUUGUACUCCCCAUGUCUCUGUGCAGUGAGCUCUUCAAUUUGAGUUCUUUACUACGAAAAAGAAUGUGGACUUGACAAGGUGUGACUAAGUAUCUUCACAUAAGCUGUUUGUUUCUUUAUUAUCUGGUGAAUUAAUUUGCUAUAAGGGUUCUCAUGGUUCUUACUGUACACUUGACCAUCAUAAGAUUGUAUGCUAGUGGCUAGGAUGGAAUUAGAAAUAGGAUUUAUGGGGGCGGGGGGGUGGGUGGGUGGAUUUGAGGGGGCAAAAGUACAGAGAUUAGUUUUCGGGGGGCAGAUAUGAACCAGAAAGGGUAUUUGACUCACUGGUUGGUUUGUUUCUCUUUCAAAACUGAUAGGAUCAAUACCUUAUUUUGCAUGCUAAGUUUUUUAUUUUUGAGGGGGGCAUGUGCACUCUCUGAGCCAACCUGAAUCCACCGGUGCUAAUGGUAUGAAAUGUAAUGACUUGCUCAUAACCAUGUAAAUAUUUGGACCCAAAGGGGCCCUCAUGGCCUUAAAACGCAUCUACAAGGUUACGAGGAGUCCAUACUUAUAUAGUGCUAGGAACUUUCCCCUCUAUCCGAUGUGGGAUGUCACAAACACUCCCGAUGCAAAUCAAUGUCCUUGUUGUGUUCCACGGGAUUGUGGGGCCAAACAAACCCCACAUCGAGGUCAGGGAUCGACUUUGGUACCAUUUGUAACGACCCGCUCACAACCGUGUAGAUAUUGUCCGUUUUGGACCCAAAGGGGCCCUCACGGCUUUAAAACACAUCUAUAAGGUUAUGAGGAGUCCAUACUUAUAUAGCGCCAUCUAAUGUGGGAUGUCACAUGAAAAGAUACUAGUUUGGUCUUUUUUUUCUUCACAAAAAUAGUUAUUAAAAGUAGUAUUGAAGAAAAAGUGGUUUGAUUGAUCUAAAAUAUUGACCCUCCUCUGCAAAUGAAAAGGGGAGGGUUAUUUUGGUUCACUAUUGUUUUCUUCAUUAAGCUUUAAACAAGUUUGCUCACAGUAGAAGUGAUGCAAAUUUAAGGUAUGUUCUAUCAGAACACAUUAUUUCUUAUUGUUUUUUACCCUUCAAGAAGCUAUGAUCUAUCUAAUUUGUAUGAAAAAAAUAUGAUAUUUUUCUUUCAAGAAUUAUAAAUUUUAGCCAUUUUUCUUCAACUUUAAUUGGGUUUUUGAACUUGGGAAAAAAAAUUUUAAAAAUGGAAAAACGAAAAGAUAAGGUUAUUUGACAUUGGACUAAUAAAAUGUUUUCACAUAAUAUAUACUAAUUACAUGAUAGUGUAAUAUUGUAAUAUUGAAAUGAAGGACCCAAGUGGCAUGAACCCAUCUAAAGAGCUUUCACCUAGAAAUGGGGAACCAAAUUGGGACUAACAUUCAAACGGAAAGAAUUGGAGUCCAUGUAUAGAUACUCCAACUUAGCUUCCAUAAAUGUUGCUCAGAGAGAGUUCCACUUAAAUCAUUAAAAGAAACACCCAAGACUUACAAUUUAGAAAGUUGUUCAAUCCUAUUUGGGAGACUUCCACUCAAAUGAUUGAGAGAAACAUCCAAUUGUUGUAGUUGAGAAAGCUGUCCAAUACUAUUUGGAAGACUUCCACUCAAAUGAUUGAAAGAAACAUCCAAUUCUUGUAGUUGAGAAAGCUGUCCAAUACUAUUUGGGAGACUUCCACUCAAAUCAUUGGAAGAAACACCCAAUUGUUGAAGUUGAGAAAGUUGUUCAACACCAUCUAGGAGACUUCCACUCAAAUGAUUGAAAGAAACUUCCAAUUGUUGUAGUUGAGAGAGCUGUUCAAUACUAUCUGGGAGACGUCCACUCAAAUGAUUGGAAAAAACAUCCAAUAGUUGCAGUUGAGAAAGUUGUCCAAUACUAUCUGGGAGAUUUCCACUUAAAUGAUUGAAUGAAACCAACAAUUCUUUUAGUUGAGAAAGUUGUCCAAUACAAUCUGGGAGACUUCCAUUCAGCUCAUUCUCUACAAGAUUCAUAUACUCCAAGUGUUGCAAUGCCCCUAAAAAAGUAGGGAUGGGACCUUUGAAUUUGUUGUAAGAUAAAUGAAGUCCCUUAAGUUCUUUAAGCUCACCCAACCAGCAUGGGAAUUUUCCCAUCAAUUGAUUCUUGUCCAAGUAUACCUCCCUCAAAUUAGGCAAAGGACUUUUAGAAUUGUAGGUCUCAAUUCCUUUGAUAAUCUCAGGUAAACUUCCAUUCAAGUUAUUAAGACUCAAAUCUAGAUAUUUUAAAUUGCAAAAGUUUCCAAUGGAGCGUGGAAUUGAACCUGUCAUGACCAAGAGUAAAAAAUAUGUGUGAAUUAAAACUAUGUAACGAACUAAUAAUAAAAAUAGCAAAUAAAAAAACAAGUUAAUUCAUGGACAAUUAGUUUAAAGAAAAAGUUCAUGCAUUGGUGAAUAAAAAUACUGGGAAUGGUACUUUUUUCUUUUCCUAAUAACCAUAAAAUAAAGUAAUUUCUUUAGAUGUUGUAACAAUAGUAAGAUUAAUAAUUGAUAUUAAUUAUUUCUUUAACAAUAAACUAAAAUGAUUUGAACAAAGUGAUAGUUCAAGGAGAGAAGAUAGAAAAUAAAAAUAUAAACUAAAAGAAUAUUGUAAAGGAAAUUAUUAAAAAGAUUUUUUAAUGAUUAUAUGUUUUUCUGAACAAUUCUUUUAGUUCAAGUGGGUCUUCUAUUUAUUUACAAACUCCAAUAAAACAUGAAUAAAAAAAAUAUAGUUGUUAAUUGUAUGAUAUUUCGAAACAAUAACUCUAAAAGAAACCAGGAAAAAAAAGAAGAAAAAAGAGAAUUUUCUAAUAAAUUAAAAUCAAUAAAAUGACAAAGCAACAUAAUUUAUAGUCUAAAUCAAAUGUACAGGGAAUAUACCAUAAAAUCAAGUACCUUAUAUGAAUUAAUGAGUGAGGAUGUUCUUAAAUGAAUUAUCACUCAAAUCUAAAUAUUUUGAAGACACUAAUUUUAUCAACAAAGGUCUAAUCUAAUCAGUCAAGUUUAUAAGAGACAAUCUAUUAAAGUAAAAAUUCUAAUGACAAUAAGUGUUCCCUCUUUAGGUAUAAUUAAUUUGUGAAUGUAGGCUUUAGGGAAAACCUCAUAAAUCGUGUUUUAUGUGUUUUAUGUGUUUUUUGUUUUUGUUUUCUUAUUUUUCUUAUUAUUUUUUAUUGUGGUUUUAAUUUACAACUUAUUUUAUUUCUUUUGAAAAUUUUCUCAAAUUAGGAAACAAAAUCAACUUUAUAGCAAAUCGAAAAGGAAAAAUGAAGGCUUGAAUGACUAUAUGCUUCCAACUUGUUUACUAUAAGUUAUAUAUUUAAUUUUAUAACUUAUUUUAUUUAUUUUCAAAAUUUUCUCAAAUUAGGAAACAAAAUCAACUUUAUAGCAAAUCGAAAAGGAAAAAUGAUGGCUUGAAUGACUAUAUGCUUCCAACUUGUUUACUAUAAGUUAUAUAUUUAAUUUUAUAAAAUUAAAAUAAAGAAAUUAUGAAGCUAUUAACAAUUACUUACCCAAAUUACCUUAUAUCUAAAUGUAAAAUUCAAUUGGUUGGAAAUUAAGUAAUCUAAAGCAAUUGAUUCAUUGAAGCACAACUAAAUCAUAUAUACUUCGUAAAAGCACCAAAUGGAUUAGGCAAUUUUAAAAUUUGUCUAACAAUUCUAUGUGAGGAAAUGAAUUUCUAGUGUAAAAUUCUUUUUACCAAAAAAAUAUAUUUUCAAUAAAAAUGAAAAUAUAUAAAAUAUCUAUUAUUUACAAAUACUUAUCAAAGUCUUGCAAAAUUUAAAAUGCAAUUGACACUUUCAAAUAUUUCUUAAAAUAAAGGGAAAAAAAAGCUUAGAACUAUUAUUACAAAAAUACAAUUUUUAAGAAAUUUCAUAUAUUAUGGAGUGGUUUGCUAAAAUUUGUUGACAUGAACUGAAAUUUUAGUUUCUGUGUCCUUAUUUUUGUAUUUUUUUUUUUUAGGCAUAGGCAAUUACAGGGCCCCUAAUCUAGAUGACCCAAACAUAAAGUCAAAGUCAAGCUAAUGCAAAAUUUUCUUGAUAAGGUAGCAAGACAUGGCAAAAACUUGAGGAAAAAUGGCCACCUUGGUAGACAAGCAUAAACCUUGAAUAAAUAAAUGAGGAAAAUAAUACCCUUAAAUUUCCCUUGACAUGACAUGACAUGGCAAAAAUGGCUUUAAAAAGUGGCCACAAUCUUUGGAAUAUUUUGGGGUGGUAUGCUAAAAUUGUGGAUACGCUAUUGAUUAUUUUUUUCCUUAAUUGUCUCUAAGAUUGUGAAAUAUUACUUAUAUACUUAUUGAUAGGGCAACAUGAAGACUGUGAUAUUUUGAGGAAGGCUUUUCCACAACUCAAUUCAUAGAGGUAAUGACUUUAUCAUCUAUAUGUGCAUAUUAUUUCUUGUGUGUGACAUAUAGUAGCAAAGUCAUGCUCAAAGGGACAAUGAGACAUAAUGCAAAGUUAAAGUUUGAAUCAACAUAAUAGACUAAGUCUCUCUCAUUAAAAAAAAAUUACAAGAUUGUAGAUUAAGAUGGUGUUUUUUUUCUUAUUUUUUUUCUACUUAAAUUCAAAUAGAACUUAAUUUUUUUUCUCACUUAGCUAUAAUUAUUCAACUAUAAAUUCAGAUAGAAAAUUUUGUUAACUAAUACGUACAACUAAUUUGAAGGUAAUUAAUUAAUGGAAAGAAUAUCACUAAUUGAUGAUAAAGUUCAAAUAAAGGUAAUUGUUAAAGCUCAAGCUCUAUUUAAGUAGUUGAUACGAUUAAAAAUGGUUCCUUUAAUGAAUGAGAAGAUGGUUCUUGACUUCAUAAUUAGACUAGUCAAUUCAUAUUUUAUUAUUUUAUAUACAUCCUUGGAUUGAAGUGAGGAGUACGUUUUGUUUUCUACAAGAGGACAAAAGGAGACAACUUCAAAAAUAAUGUUUUAAGUGAAGACAACAACAUGUUUUUGGACCUUGAAUUUUUAAUUUAUAUAUCUCUAUUUUUUUUUAGCCACAUACAAUUGAAAAGGCUUGAAUGUUGAUGAUCUAAACAUAAAGUUAAAGUCAAUCCAACGAAAAUUUUUGCUAAUAAGGUAUUAAAAUGAUACAACAAAAAUAUAUUAAAAUGAUUGAAGAAAAAGUUGUCAUCGUGAUAGAAAUUAACAGCAUAAAAUUACAUGACAUACACCAGUUGCACAAUUUUUGGACACUUACAACUAUCAAAAGUUGACAUGAUUGGAUUAGGUGAUUAUAACUAUUUUCCUUUCAGUCAUAUAGACUUAAUAAUAAACUCAUAUUAGAAAAUUUUAAACUUUUAAUAUCAUUAUAAAACAUGCUCUAAGUAAUUACAGUAAUGAUUUUAGCUUAUAAACUAGAAAUCAAAUUUCAUAUUCCUCUAAAGAAUUCCUAUAAUUUAAAAUAUGUCAAAUUCAAUUAUGAAAGCAACUAAGGAAAGAUUGCUAUAUGAAUAUUCUAAGAAAAUUUUUAAUUUCUUAAUUAAUUUCAUAAAACUAAACUACAGAAGAAUUGAGUUUUUCAAAGCAAUAAUUUGGUCUUUCCUUUCCUUUUAUUUUAAAUGGUAAGAGAGAGAAAUAUUUACAAACUUGUUGAAGUUAUUGGAAGUCCAAUUUUAUAUAUAUUUUAAAAUAAUUUCAAAAAUCAUUGUUAGGGAUGUAGUAAGGCUUUUAAUAUGAUUUAUUAUUGUGGAUUUUUUUCAAGAGUGAUAUAGAUGAUUUAAAGGGUAUUAUAUAGUUAGUGUGUUAUUGAUGAAUAAGUAUGAGACUAGUCAUUUGAAUUGAUGAUAUAUUUAUUAUAUUUAAAAUUAUAUUAUAUAUUAUUUAUCACCAAGUAUCAUUCUUCUAACCACUUAAAUAACUCAUUAUACAAGAGAGUGACAACAUGUUUCUCUUUUAAAUUAGAAGAAAAUGUUCUAUCACUAGAGAAUUUUUCCUCAAAGCAUAAUGUUAUGUAGAAUAAAAUAUAACAUCUCAUAAAUAUUUUUUUUUUUCUUAAGAAACUUACAUAGAUUUUGUUAGAUUGCUUAGUUAGUAAAUACACUCAUCUAAAAAGUUACAAGUUCUAUAAUUGCUUUAACAAUUUUUUUUUUCCCUAAAGCAUUGAGGUUUUGAAAAUUUUUUUUUUUAGUUUAACAUUUAUAAGUGUGCAAAGGAUAUUAUAGAAGUCUUGGUACACAUUAUUGUGAAAAUUAUCUCUUUCCCAAAUGAUAGCGAAAAGAGAAUACUAGGCAAGAACUAAGAAUAUUUUCUUAUAUUUAUAAUAUUACAACUUCUUGAAUGAAGGCAUAAAUUUCCACGGAUGAUGGUAUGGAUGUGGAAUUCAAUGAAAGGAAAUGUGGAAAAUUCUUCAUUGUAAUAAAAUUUUUACUUUCCUAUAUAAGCAAGUUAUGCUUGGUCCAUGAAAAUUCAAUAAAAUGAUAUCUAGUCCUUGUCGGUGGACUUGGUCUAUUGGAUUUAGAAGAAAAAAAAUCUUUUAAUAUAUAUAUAUAUAGACUCAAUUUAUUUAGUUAUAUUUAUUUUGAGGAAAUUUAAUAUUUGUAGAGUUUCUAUUUGGGUAAAUUACCCUUUUAAGUUUGAUCAGGAUUAAAACUUUAUAGAUAUAUGGUUUUAUAUAUGAUUUUAAGAUAGAAGGAAAAAAUGAGCAAAGAAUGAAUAGAGAUAGUCAAAAGGUGUAUGAGUUUUGGGUAAAGAAAGGUAUGUUGAGAGAGUUUGAAGUGUGUAAAGUUUAUUAAUAAAUUAAUAUGAUCUUUCUUUCUCAUAGAUGUAGGCGAUUAUCUCAAACUAAGUAAAUAUUUUAUCUUUUUUCUUAUUUCACUUUCUUUCUUCUUAUUGUAUUUAGGUGUUUCAAUUUUCCCAACAAAUACUUGUUCUAUCAUCAUAUCUCUAUCUACCACGUAUAGUCCUCACCACCUUAUAUAAAAUAUUUCAUAAAUACAUAUAAUGUGAUUAUAAUUAGAUUCUUUAUAUAGAAUAAAAAAAACUAGUAGUAAUAUCUCUACAAAUAUUAUGUGACUCACAUAAUUAGAUAAUUAGUUCCUUAUAUUAAAUAUUCCAAUCAAGAAAAUAUGAGAAGUCAUUUUAGCAAAUAAGAAAGAAUCAUUUUUCUCGGUAUAAUUAAUUUAGACUUUAGGAUUUAAGAGUUAUAGGACUAUAAUCUUCUUAAACAAUACUAGAAGUUCUUUUUUAUCUUCAUUUGUGAAUGUAAGUUUUAUGGCAAACUGCAUAAAUCGCAUUUGAUGUGUUUUUUGUUAUUUAUUUAUUUAUUAUUUAUUUUUAUUUUUCAUUGUGGUUUUAAGUUUUAACUUUUUUAUUGUCUUCAUUGUGGUCUUCUCCAACAAGUGUCUCUCACUCUUCAUCAUAUCUCUAUCUACCACGUAUAGUCCUUACCACCUUAUAUAAAAUAUUUCAUAAAUAUAUAUAAUAUGAUUAUAAUUAGAUUCUUUAUAUAGAAUAAGGAAAACUGGUAGUAAUAUCUCCACAAAUAUUUUGUGUCUCAAAUAAUUACAUAAUUAGUUCCUUAUAUUAAAUAUUCCAAUCAAGAAAAUAUGAGAAGUUAUUUUAUCAAAUAAGAAAGAAUCAUUUUUCUUGGUAUAAUUAAUUUAGACUUUAGGAUUUAAGAGUUAUAGGAUUAUAAUAUUCUUAAACAAUAGUGGAAGUUCUUUUUUAUCUUCAAUUUGUGAAUGUAAGCUUUAUGGAAAACUGCAUAAAUCGUGUUUUAUACGUUUUCUGUUUUUUUUUUAAAAUCAGAAUUGUUGAUGUGUUAUUGAUUAUUUUAUUAUUUUCUUUAUUAUUUUCCUUAUUAUUAUUAUUAUUAAGUUAAAAGACAAACAUCACCUAAAUAUUUUUUUUGGAAUUUUUUUUUUAAAAAGAUAGUUGCAAAUUCAUCUUUUUACUUAUUUUCCUUAUUAUUAUUAUUAUUAUUAUUAUUAUUAUUAUUAUUAUUAUUAUUAUUAUUAUUAUUAAGUUAAAAGACAAACAUCACCUAAAUAUUUUUUCUUGGAAUUUUUUUUUUUAAAAAAGAUAGUUGCAAAUUCAUCUUUUUACUUCAUAUACACAAUUUGAUCAUAUUCAAAUAGUAGUAAUUGGUAAGCCCAAAAUAGUUUGAAAAGGUCACUUGAAUUGGUAAGCAAUUGAAUUGAUUCAAGUGGUUGGUCUAGUCCAUUUUUCAAAAUAUUGCUAAAAAGAAAGGAUAGGAGCCUAUCACUAUCAUCCACAUGGUUUCUAGUUGAAUUAUCUUCUAUAUAUGUCUCUGCAUCCAAAGGAAUGACUAAAUCAAAAUAAGAAAAAAAAAAAAAAGGAAGAUAAUUGGUAAGAUCCUAUUCCACUAAUAAUGCCAAGUUUUUUUUAUAGUAUUUCUCUCUAUCCAAUGCUUCAAGUUUUUUUGUAGGAGAUUUCUAUAGUUGGAAUGUUUUGAUCAUUAGCAAUCAUCAAAGCAUAAUUGAUAUUUGUUGAGAUGAUUUCAAUUAUAUUUUCUUUAACAUGUAUUCAAGUAUGUUGUUUACUUGGCAAUUUUUAAUCUUUCGAAACAAAUGAGUGGUUAAGUUAAAGGUGUUAUUAAUUGUCUGAUGUCUUGAUUCCAUUACUAAUUGAAUUUUAUCACUAUUUUUAUUGUUGUGUUGGAACUUAAUUUUACUUGUUUUUGCAUGUGUUCCUAGAUGGAGAAAAUUUUAAUUCUCGAUUUCCUUUUUAUCAUUCUAUGUUCAAUAAUAAGAGAACUUGCUUGUAAAGGUGAGACUAAUUUGGGAAAUUGCUUAAAAAUUGAUAGAGAUGCUCUUACUCACUUCAAAAAUGGUCUCAAAAGUACUAACAAUUGGCUUUCAUCAUGGAGAGGGCUUGAUCGUUGUCAAUGGGAAGGAAUUGAUUAUGAAAAUAAAACAAGAGCUAUUAUUUCAAUUGAUCUUCUUAAGCCAUAUUCUCCCAAGGAAGCAUAUGAGAAUGGGACCUCUAUGAACUUGUGUGGAGAGAUUGGAUCUUCAUUAAUAGAACUCAAAUCCUUGAGAUAUUCAGAUUUGAGUGACAACACAUUUUAACAUAUUUCAAUUCUUGAAUUUUUUGUAUCUUUAAGAAUUUACAAUAUCAAAACCUAUCAAAUUGUGGGUUCAGUGGUGCAAUUCCUCCUAGUCUAGGAAACCUCUCUAAUUUGAAAUUUCUUGAUCUUUCCAGCCAUCAAUAUUUUGAUUUAUUUUUUAAUUCUGAAUCCUAUGAUUUAUAUGUCAAUGAUCUCAAAUGGAUCACUAGUCUUGUUUUACUUUACCAACAAUGCCAAGUUGUCUCUAGUGUUCUCCUCUACCUAAUGCUUCUAAGCUUCUCUUGUGGGUGAUUUCUAUUGUUUUGAUAAGCAAAAAUCAUCAAACCAUAUUUGAUAUGGAUAUGUGUUCAAGUAUGCCAUCCACUUGACAUGUUUUAAUCUUAUUAAACUUAUGAUUGAUUAAAAUAAAUGUGUUAUUUAAUAUCCAAUAACUCGAUGUUUUGAUUACUUAUCAAAUUUCAUCACUAUUUUGAUUCUUUUGUUGAAACUUAAUAUUAAUUACUUGUUUUUAUAGGUGUUCUCAGAUGGAGAAAAUUUCGAUUCCUGGUUUUCUUUUGGUCAUUCUAUGUUUAAUAACAAGAAAUCUUGCUUAUAAGGGUGAAACCCUUGAGGGAAAUUGCUUAAGAACUGAUCGAGAAGCUCUUCUUGAAUUCAAAAAUGGUCUCAAAGAUUCUUCUAACAAUCGACUUUCAUCAUGGAUAUGAGGCAAUUGUUGUCAAUGGGAAGGAAUUGGUUGUGAAAACAACACAGGAGUUGUUAUUUCAAUCAAUCUUCAUAACCCAUUGCCAUGUGUAGCAAUUUUAAUUUAUUUAUUUCAGAUAUUUUGGUUUAUUGAGUUAGUUCAAAUAACUAGUAGUAGUGGGCUAGAGAGUCGGUAAUGUGAGCUAUUUUUUAGUAAUUGUUGCUGUUUAAUCUCUAAGUUGUUGAGUCUAUUAAAUUAUAAAUUUCCUCAUUCUUGUAAAAUGAUCAGAUGAAAAACUUCCAAAAACUUGUCUUUGUUUUCUGCUUUCCAAAUUCUUUCAAUUCUGCUCAUAUUUUGCCUUAGCAACAUAGCUCGAGGGUGAGGUAGGGGGCCAGGGAGGGGACGAGAUCGUGCCAUUAACUUCGAAUGUGACAGAGUGGUAUCAGAGCCAGUUAUGGCUGACGAUCAAUGACUCCAAAGGCUUGAAAAUUAGGUUGAGAACCUAAGUUCAGGUCAAGAAAGGCUCCUUAAGUAGAUGGAAGAACUGGUGGGGGUAAUGAACUCCCGAUUAGACUUGCAGGAAGAAGGGUCCGUCAAUAGGAAUCGAGGACCACAUGGACAGGGUGGUGUUAGGUACGCAGGUGGACUAGUGGUUCCUAAGUUUGCAAAGCUUGAUUUUCCUCGCUAUGAUGGCUCAAAAGAUCCAACUUUAUGGAUUUGUCGCACAGAACAAUUCUUUGAAUUUCAAAGGACAUCAUUGGAAGAAUCAAGUCAAAUUACCAGCCUACCACUUGGAAAAAGAUGCUCAAUUGUGGUACCAGUGAUGCAAAAAUCAAGGUCACUUGGUUACUUGGGAUGGAAUGAAGGUGGGAUUGCUAGAGAGGUUUGCUGUAACUUAAUAUGAAGAUUUCUUUGGAGACUUAUGCAAGCUUAGGCAAAUGGGAAUUGUUUCAGACUAUCAAACUCAGUUUGAAAGGCUUUUAGCACGGGCCGACACUUUGAUAGAUAAACAAGAAGUUGAGUGUUUUAGUAAUGGAUUGAAGGAUGGGCUAAGGGCGGAUGUAAGAAUCCAAAACCCUCAAAAUCUGUCUUCUGCAGUUGGGUUAGCACGAUGAACUCAAAGCCUAGGAAGUGAGGCGCCCAACCAACCCAACAUUCUCUUCUUCAGUUCGCAACCCCAACAACCAAUGGAACACCUCAACCCCUAGUGGUGCAAAAGGCACCAAUCUAGAGAGAAUUUUACUAAUCCGUAAAUUAUCUCCAAUCGAACUCCAAAUGCGGUGACAACAAGGGUUGUGCUACAAUUGUGAUGAAAAGUAUACAAUGGGUCAUAAAUGCAAGAAAUUGUUCUUCAUUGAACUAGAAGAAGAGAAUGAAGAAGCCAUAGAAGAAGAGUAUGAAGAAGAGACACCAACUAUCUUUUACAUGCCUUGGCUAGGGUUCAAUCUCCACAAACUAUAUGGAUCCACUCAUAGAUUGGUAAGACUCCACUGACUAUUUUAAUUGAUUCUGGUUCCACUCAUAAUUUUUUGCAUCACAAAUUUGCCAAAAUCAUCGGACUUAAGUCGGAAAGGAGCUGCUUGUUUAGCGUGGUGGUUGCCAAUGGGGAGAGGUUGUUAAGUCCUGGGCGUUGUAAUGGAGUAAAAUUGCCCUUGUAAGGCAUCCCAAUUGAGGUAGAUUUUUUCUUACUUCCUAUAGAAGGUUGUGAUGUUGUUCUAGGAGUACAGUGGUUGGGUACUCUUGGUCCAAUUUUAUGGGAUUUUGGAAGGAUGCAAAUGCAAUUCAUUAUAGCUAGGCGAAAGGUGUUGCUACAAGGUUCAACCUCCUCAAAACUUCGGGCUCUUGAAGGUGAUACUGUUUCUAGAACAUUGAGGCAAAGUGAUGGUAGGGGAAUUAUUUUACAGCUUUGUACAAUCCAGCAUGAGCAUACAAAUCAUGAGGAGUUACUAUCAGAUGCAAUGGCUCCUUUGCUCAUUGAGUUCAACGAAUUGUUUGGAGCACCUACGGGAUUACCACCUCCACACUUUCAUGACCACAGGAUUCCCCUCCAGCUAGGAGUAGGUCCAAUUUGUGUACGUCCUUAUCAAUACCCGCAUUUCCAGAAACAAGAGAUUGAGUUCUUGGUGGAGGAGAUGCUAUCACAAGGUAUAAUUUAGCCUAGCCAAAGCCCAUUUUCCUCUUCGGUACUUUUGGUGCGAAAACAUGAUGGGAGUUGGAUGUUUUGUGUGGACUAUCGAGCACUAAACCGGGUGACAGUCAAAGAUAAGUUUUCAAUUCCAGUUAUAGAUGAAUUGUUGGAUGAGCUACAUGGUGCCAAAUUCUUCACCAAAUUGGAUCUCAGAUCUGGGUAUUUUCAAAUACGAAUGGAUCCUCUUGAUGUACAUAAAACAGCCUUCCGAACUCACCAUGGGCACUUUGAAUUUCUGGUAAUGCCUUUCGGCCUCUCUAACUCCCCAUCUACAUUUCAAUCACUCAUGAAUGAGAUUUUCAAGGCUCAUCUAAGAAAAUUCAUUUUGGUAUUCUUUGAUGACAUUCUAAUUUAUAGUAGCACAUGGGUUGAACAUCUGAAACAUGUUAGAAUUGCAUUUUCCAUUUUGCGAGCUCAUCAUGUUGCAGUCAAGAAAGAAAAAUGUCAGUUCGGGCAAACGUAAAUCAAAUAUUUGGGGCAUAUCAUUUGCCAAAAUGGUGUGAAGGUGGAUCCAGAAAAAAUAAAGGCAAUGAUGGAAUGGCCAAAACCAGGAACUAUCAAAGCUUUGAGGGGUUUUUUUAGAACUAAUGGGUUGUUAUCGGAAGUUUAUUGCAGGUUAUGGCAAAAUUGCAGCUCCUUUGACUGACAUGUUGCAAAAAAAAUGCUUUUUCUUGGUCUCAAAAGGUGGAAGAAGCAUUUGAAUUAUUGAAACAAACCAUGAUGCAGGCUCCAGUUUUAGCCUUGCCAAAUUUCCAGCUCUUAUUUGUGGUGGAAUGUGAUGCAUCAGGGAAUGGAUUAGGAGUUGUCCUAAUGCAAGAACAAAGAUCUAUUGCUUAUUUCAGCACUGUCUUGAAGAGAAAACGCCUUUUGUUGUCCACUUAUGAAAAUGAACUUAUGACACUUGUUCUUGCGGUAAAAAAAUUGCGACCUUAAUUGCUUGGGUGUCAUUUUAUGGUCUGAACUGACCAACGCAACCUUAAAUUUCUUUGGGAGCAAUGAAUAAUGAUAGAAUCGCAACAAAAAUGGCUGCUCAAAUUAAUGGGUUAUGACUUCUCCAUCGAAUUCAAGAAGGGUAAGAACAAUAUGGCAACAAAUGCUUUAUCAAGAAAGGACACACAAGGGGAAUUCAAUGCAGUCUCUAGUCUCUUACCCCAACGGUUGGAAUCCAUCAAGGUUGAGAAUCAAUCACACCAGGAGCUGCAACGAAUUCAUCAGUUGCAUAAGCAAGGAAAGGCUAUUGGACCAUGGGAAAAUCGAAAUGGUGUAAUAUUCUUUAAGGAGCGUAUCCAUCAUCCAUCAAACUCAGAACUCAUCCCAAUCAUUCUCCAAGAAAUUCAUGGCAUUGGGCAUGAAGGUCUUUACAAAACUCUUCAUCGAGUGAAUGAGGUAUUCUAUUGGAGGCAAAUGAAGAAGGUUGUACUUGAUUACAUCAAGCAAUGUGAUUUUUGUCAACGCUAUAAGAUAGAUCACCAAAAGCCAUCAGGUCUUCUCCAACCAUUGCCUAUUCCUACACAGGUAUGGACAGACAUCUCUAUGGAUUUUAUUGAUAGCCUACUCCCUUCUAAGGGGAAAACAGUACUCCUUGUGGUAGUGGAUCGGCUAUUCAAAUAUGCACAUUUUAUUCCAAUGUCUCACCCUUACACUGCACCAAAGGUGGCUCAAACAUUCUUUGAAAAUGUGUCUAAACUCCAUGGCAUGCCAAGUUCAAUAGUAUGUGAUCGGGACUCCACUUUUAUAAGUGCUUUUUGGAAAGAGCUUUUCAAAUUGUAGGGCAGUAGCUUCAAUUUCAGCUCAUCUUACCACCCCUAAACAGAUGGCCAAACUGAAGCAGUGAAUCGGACUCUUGAGAUGUACCUACAUUGCUUUACUAGUUCAAGACCAAAGGAGUGGGUUUAAUGGGUUCCUUGGGCUGAAUUCUGUUACAACACCAGUUUACAUGCUUCUACUCACAAAACUCCCUUCGAAGUGGUGUAUGGAAGAGAGCCCCCCAACUUGCUUUCCUAUGUUCAUGGUACAUCAAAAGUUGAAGUUGUAGAUAACAUGCUCCAAGCAAAAGAUAAAGUUGUAAAAGACCUAAGAUGUCAGCUCCAACAAGCACAAGCUAGAAUGAAGACUGCUUAUGACCAAGGGCGAGUUGAGAGAGAAUUCGUUGUUGGUGAUUGGUUAUAUUUGCGGCUACAACCUUAUUGGAAAACUUCAUUGGCUUUAAGAAGUCACAUAAACUGUCCCUGCGAUUUUAUGGGCCAUAUCGUGUGCUAGAACGAAUUGGUUCAGUGGCUUAUCGACUUGAUCUCCCGCCAGGAAGUAAGAUUCAUCUAGUUUUCCAUGUGUCAAUCCUUAAAAAACAGCUUGGUACAACUGAUAAAAUUGAUUAUCCUCUUCCAUUAGUACUAGAAACAUCAGGUCACUUGCAACCUUAGCCUAUAGCAGUUCUAAAUUUUUGCAACAACGGGUGUAAACGUGAACUAUUUAUUCACUGGCAGAGGCUCCCGACAACAGAUGCUACUUGGGAGGAUAAGAACCAACUUCGAAACAAAUUUCCAGACUUUGUGUGUCCUUGAGGACAAGGACGAUUCCAAGAGGGAGGAAAUGUCAUGUGCAACAAUUUUAAUUUGUUUAUUUCAGAUAUCUUGGUUUAUUGAGUUAGUUCAAAUAACUAGCAGUAGUGGGCUAGAGAGUGGGUCACGUGAGCUAUUUUUUAGUAAUUGUUGCUGUUUAAUCUUUAAGUUGUUGAGUCUAUUAAAUUAUAAAUUUCCUCAUUUUUGAGCAAUAAAACGAUCAAAUGAAAAACUUCCAAAAACUUGUCUUUGUUUUUUGCUUUCCAAAUUCUUUCAAUUCUGCUCAUAUUUUGCCUUAGCAACAUAGCUUGAGGGCAAGGUAGGGGGCGAGGAAGGGGAUAGGAUUGAGCCAUUAACUUAGAACGUGACACCUAUAUUCUCCUAAAGAAGCAUAUGAGAAUUGGAGCUCAAUGAACUUAAGCGGGGAGAUUCGACCUUCUUUGAUAGAACUCAAAUAUUUGAUAUAUUUAAAUUUGAGUGGCAACUCAUUUGAACAUAUCUCAAUUCCUAAAUUCUUUGGAUCGUUGAAAAAUUUACAAUAUCUAAACUUAUCAAAUUGUGGAUUAUGGGGUGCAAUUCCUCCAACCUUGGGAAACCUUUCUAAUUUGCAAUUUCUUGAUCUUUCUUCUCAUGAAUUUCAAUUAUUUGUUAAGGACCUUGAAUGGAUGACUAGUCUUGUUUCCUUAAGGCAUCUCAAGAUGAAUUAUGUCAACCUUUCAAUGGUAGGAUCUCACUGGGUGGAGGCAUUAAAUAAGCUUCCAUUUUUUACAGAGUUGCAUCUACAACAGUGUGGGCUCUCUAGUCCAAUUUCAUUUCUAAGCUCUAUCAAUUUCUCUUCACUGUUGGUCAUAAGCAUUGGUUACAAUUCUUUCCGGUCAAAGUUCCCAAUAUGGCUUAUAAACCUUAGCAGCCUUGUAUACAUUGAUGUAAGUUCUAAUAAGUUAUAUGGGCAUAUUUCACCUGGCCUUGGGGAACUACCUAACUUGCAGCACUUCGAUCUAUCUUGGAAGAAAAAUCUCAUAGGUAGUUGCUCUCAACUGUUAAGCGGAAGCUGGAAGAAGAUAGAAUUUCUGAAUUUGGCAUCCAAUAACUUUCUUGGUAUGUUUUUGGCUUAGAAAAAUUAUUAUUGCUUAUUGAUUUUGAUACAUCAAAAUAAUGUAGUGGUUCUGCAGUCUAACACUUGUUUUUAAAAAAUAUUUGGCAUUAACUUAUUCUGAUUUUCCAAUAAUCUCUUUCACUUUUACAUUAAACCAUCAAAGUAAAUUCAAUUAUCUUCUCACUAUUCAUUAAAUUAUUUUCUCAUAAACUCUUUUUUUUUAUUUUUUUGAAAAUUAUUUUAAAUUAUAUUAUUUUAACUCUUGAUGGUGCAUGAUUUGUCAUAAAUCCAUUGCACAAUUGACUAACAAAGGGGAAUUUUUAGGGCUUUUUGGCUCAUCUUCUCCUCCAUGGCUUUUGAUGGAUUUGAAAGAUUACACUACAAGAUCUAGGUUUUGGUUGUAAACAAUUUUUAAAAUAGUUUUCUAAAUCAUUUUUUGAGUUUUUUUAUAAUGGUUUUACAAAAAUUAUAAUGUAUUUUGUUUCUUGUGAACAUUUUAAAAAUAAUUUUUCAAAGUCAAAUUUUGAGUUUUUUUUAUAAUAAUUUUUACAAAUAUUAUAUUAUAUUUUGAAACAAAAUUUUGCUUGGAAACUUUAAUUUCUGAAAACAAUAUUAUCAAUUUAUUCCAUGUAGACACUUAUUUCUAAAAAUAGUUUAAAUUAUCUUUUCACCACUCAUUUGAUGAUGCAUUAAGAAGGCAAAGUUUCUUACCUUUCUCAUGAACUUUCUUAUGUUUCAUAAAAAUAAAUAAAUAAAUAAAUAAAUCAAAUUAUUUUAAUACUCUUGAUGAUGAUUGCAUGUACAAUUCCAAACUCCAUAAGAAAUUUUUGCAACUUAAAACAUUUGGAUUUAGCUUCCAAUACCUUGACAAGAACUUUCCCUGAAUUUGUCAAAGAUAUCAAAAACUGCAGUUCUGAAGAUCCUUUACUAGAACUGAGCUAUUUGGACUUGUCCGAGAAGCAAUUAGUGGGUGGAUUGCCAAAACGGUUGAAUCAGAUGGAAAAACUAAUGCAUCUCGAUCUGUACAACAACAAGCUUCAAGGUCCUAUCCUUGCUUCUUUUGGGACAUUCAAAAAUCUGAAUGAAAUGUGGCUUGGAUUGAAUGAACUGAAUGGGAGUCUCCCAGUUAGUUUUGGACAACUUUUUGAAUUUGUUCUCUUAGAUGUUUUUGGGAAUCACUUGACUAAAAUUCUUUCUGAAGAACAUUUUUCAAAGUUAGGUAAGCUAAAGAUAUUGUGGAUGGAAGUAUAGAAUUUUAUUCAUACUGAAUAAAUUAGGCAUUAGUGGGGCCCAACUUCUAUGAUUGAUUGCUUGAUUGACUUUGCCCUACUUUGACAUGCAUGUUAUUAUUCUGUAUCUGUGCACUAACCUUGUCUCUCAUGAUAGCACUCAGCUUGUGACUAAGGUAUGCCUAGUACUUGAUCAUAUUUAUUUAUUUAUCCGUUAUCAUGCAUGACUUAUUUUAUUAUUUGAUCAUUGUUUGGUAUCCACGAUUUUCUGAUCAAUUGUCAUACUUGACUUAGCUAAUUAAUAGAGACCUAAUUUUUAGGGGCUUAGAAAGGUGAUACAAUCUAUCACCGUACCUUCCCAAUAGGUAACUUGACCCCUGAACCCAAACUCGAUUUUUUGCAGACUUAUUUUUCCUUUAGGAGUCACAUUUAAGGUUUUUCUUUCUUAUUUAUUUUUUUCCCUUUAAAAAUAAAACAAAAAUAAGUGGCAACUUUAAAAACUUUUCAAAAAUCAUUUUUUCUAAUAAAAAGCGAGUCUCGCCAGAGUAGGGAAUGCAUGCGAGAAAUGCAGGGUCCACAAAAUGGCAACUCCACUAGGGAACACUAGAGGGUUAAGCUUAAACUUAAAUUAAGGCAAAUAUGGCGUUUGAUUGGUUGAUUAGUGGGUACCCUUCUUUCUUUGUGCUUUUGUAUGAUUGAGUAUUGAUAGCACAUUAAGAUUUCUUGAUAUGUUUAUCUAGGAUGCAUGUUUGCCUAUUGUGUUCAUUUGAGGCAUGGACAUACUGAUUAUAUUGAUCGAUCCUUUUAUUUGUCCUCACAUAGUGACUCUUUUUACUGUAUGAUUACUUUGCUCACCUUGACAUGUACAUUCUUGUAGUUGUUUAUCUCGUUCAUCCUGACAUGUUUGAUUCUCUUGGUUGUAUAUUAUCAUGAUUAUCAUGGAGCAUGCUAUCCUUGAUAGAUAUUAAUCUCAAUUAUCCUAUUUCCUGCUUAGCUUGUGUGUAAAUUUGGAUGAUAUAUACCUGCUUUGCAUGACUGCAUGGUGCAUGAUUACUUUCCUUUUACAUGAUGCAUGUAUUGCUUGUCUGUGUGGGUCUCACACCUAUCCCCUUAUUUCCAAUUCUCUAGUCUCAGUCAAACUUGUUUUCCUUGAUCUCAUAUUUCAUAUGAAACUUGUUGCCUUGUUUGUUCUCCAACUGAGCUAGUGAUUUGGAGUAAGGUCUAGCAAUGGGCUAUAUAUAUGUUUGGGAGCAUUCUGGAGGUGGUUGACAUAUUGAUGUUGAUUGGAGUUUGACCUUUGAAGACUUGUAUAGCCCAAAGCUAGAUUUCAAGAUAUUUGUGUGGCUAGUGUGUUUUCUUCUUAGUUUGAUAGGAUUUUCAGAUGCACCCACACCAUUCAUUGUACAUUCUAGAUCACCAUUGAGUGUUGAGAGA